GACGAACUGCCCUAACGUUGUUCGGAAUCACUGGGCUUAAAGGGCGCGUAGGCGGUCCGACAAGUCGGGGGUGAAAUCCUGCAGCUUAACUGCAGAAGUGCCUUCGAUACUGUCGGUCUUGAGGGAGAUAGGGGUGUGCGGAACUUCCAGUGGAGCGGUGAAAUGCGUUGAUAUUGGAAGGAACGCCGGAGGCGAAAGCGGCGCACUGGAUCCCUACUGACGCUGAGGCGCGAAAGCCAGGGGAGCAAACGGG
rnacentral:rRNA from 1 species